CCAGAAGGAAAAUGAAAGAAGAAAUUUAAAUACCACUUGAAGAGAGGUGCUGCCCACUUCAUGAGUGCUGCUGCUGUCCUGCCCAAGUACCCAGCUUGCAGAGUGCCGGAGUUAGAGUCCCAGGGGUGUUCUCCACAGCUGCAUGCUUGAUCCAGGCCUAUCAGAUAAAUUCCAUUGAAAGUCCUCAUUCUCAAAUUUAAAACAAAGACUCUGUGUACCUCAAUAGCAAUGCAUACACAGUUGGCUUCACAAACAUACUGUACAUUUCUUUUUUUCGUAUUUAUUCAACAAAUGUAUAUUGACUACCCACCAUGUGACAGGUGUUAUUUGUUGGCGGAACCAGGCAUCAUCAGCAAACAAAACUGACAAAGCUUCCUGCCCUCUGUGGAAGGCAUCUGAGGAAGAGACUGGAUUUUGUAGCAACAUGUUAUUCUCAUUAUAAACUUUAUCAUUGGAAUACUGAAGCCAAAUCAUCCCCCAUCUCCUUGAUCAGGAUACCCACCUAAUCCAGGCAGCUACACAAUUGUGAGAGCCUUUGUUUUUUUCUGCUGAAACAUCCUUAAAAUGUUUCAAACCCAAGAUUUGGCUUUUCUUAAAUAUGAUUUUUAAUUUUUUUCAUUUCUAUCUAGAGAUUUAAUUGGAAAUGGA
rnacentral:antisense_RNA from 1 species